ACAGUGCAAAAAAAAAUGAAAUACAGUGCAAAAAAAUGAAAUACAGUGCAAAAAAUGAAAUACAGUGCAAAAAAUGAAAUACAGUGCAAAAAAUGAAAUACAGUGCCAAAAAAUGAAAUUCAGUGCAAAAAAGUGAAAUACAAUGCAAAAAAAUGAAAUACAGUGCAAAAAAGUGAAAUACAGUGCAAAAAAAUGAAAUACAGUGCAAAAAAGUGAAAUACAGUGCAAAAAAAUGAAAUACAGUGCCAAGUGAAAUUCAGUGCAAAAAAAAUGAAAUACAGUGCAAAAAAGUGAAAUACAGUGCAAAAAAAUGAAAUACAGUGCAAAAAAAUGAAAUACAGUGUAAAAAAGUGAAAUACAGUGCAAAAAAUGAAAUACAGUGCAAAAAAGCGAAAUACAGUGCAAAAAAUGAAAUACAGUGCCAAGUGAAAUUCAGUGCAAAAAAAAUGAAAUACAGUGCAAAAAAGUGAAAUACAGUGCAAAAAAAUGAAAUACAGUGCAAAAAAAUGAAAUACAGUGUAAAAAAGUGAAAUACAGUGCAAAAAAUGAAAUACAGUGCAAAAAAGCGAAAUACAGUGCAAAAAAUGAAAUACAGUGCCAAGUGAAAUUCAGUGCAAAAAAAAUGAAAUACAGUGCAAAAAAGUGAAAUACAGUGCAAAAAAAUGAAAUACAGUGCAAAAAAAUGAAAUACAGUGUAAAAAAGUGAAAUACAGUGCAAAAAAUGAAAUACAGUGCAAAAAAGCGAAAUACAGUGCAAAAAAUGAAAUACAGUGCCAAGUGAAAUUCAG
rnacentral:lncRNA from 1 species